UCAAGCGAACAAGGGCGCAGGGCGAAUGCCUUGGCACUGGGAGCCGAUGAAAGACGUGAUAAGCUGCGAUAAGCUUCGGGGAGCUGCAAAUAAGCAUUGAUCCGGAGAUCUCUGAAUGAGGAAACUCACUUGGGUUCAUACUCAAGUACGUUGUACUGAACUUCAAAAUAGGUACAUCGAGGGAACCGCCUGAACUGAAACAUCUAAGUAGGGCGAGGAAGAGACAUCAAACGAGAUUCCGUAAGUAGUGGCGAGCGAACGCGGAAGAGGGCAAACCGGGAGUCGAAAGACUUCCGGGGUACGGAGCGCAUUUAAGACUUAAGUUGUUAACCGAACGGCAUGGGAAGGCCGGUCAGAGAGUGUGAGAACCACGUAGGUGAAAACGACGAGAGCUGAGCGAUUUCCAGAGUACGGCCGGACACGUGAAACCCGGUCGGAAUACGGGGGGACCACCCUCCAACCCUAAAUACUACCCAGUGACCGAUAGCGUAUAGUACUGUGAAGGAAAGGUGAAAAGCACCCCGGGAGGGGAGUGAAAAAGAACCUGAAACCCUGUGCCUACAAGCACCUAGAGCACGUCAAUGUGUGAUAGGGUACUUUUUGUAGAACGGUCCGGCGAGCGAUUGUAUGCAGCAAGGUUAAGGACUUAAGGUCUGGAGCCGAAGCGAAAGCGAGUUUGAAAAGGGCGUUAAGUUGCAUAUAAUGGGCCCGAAACCGGGUGACCUACCCAUGGUCAGGUUGAAGUGGAAGUAAAAUUCCAUGGAGGACCGAACCGACCUCCGUUGAAAAGGCGGCGGAUGAACUGUGGGUAGCGGAGAAAUUCCAAUCGAACCCGGAGAUAGCUGGUUCUCCCCGAAAUAGUUUUAGGACUAGCCUCAAGUUAGAUAUCUGGAGGUAAAGCACUGAAUAGCCUAGCGGCCGAGAGGUUAGCGAAGCUUAUCAAACUCAGAAUGCCAGAAUAUUGAUGCUUGGGAGUCAGACAGUGUCAGAUAAAUGUCAUUGUCAAAAGGGAAACAGCCCAGAUCUACAGCUAAGGUCCCAAAGUCAGGUUAAGUGGAAAACGAUGUGAAGAUACGCAGACAACCAGGAUGUUGGCUCAGAAGCAGCCACUCAUUCAAAGAGUGCGUAAUAGCUCACUGGUCGAGCGUCUUUGCGCGGAGAAUUUAACGGGGCUAAACCUGACACCGAAGCUUAGGCAAUACAGUAAUGUAUUGGGUAGGGGAGCGUUGUAUACGCGGUGAAACAGUAGCGCAAGCGGCUGUGGAGUGUAUAGAAGUGAGAAUGCCGGAAUGAGUAGCGCGAAUGCAGUGAGAAUCUGCAUGGCCGAAAGCCUCAGGUUUUUGGAGGAAGGUUCGUCCGCUCCAAGUUAGUCGGGAGCUAAGGUGAGGCCGAGAGGCGUAGCCGAUGCACAGACGGUAGAGAUUCCGUCACCACCAAAAGAGUUAAGCACAGGGACACAUUUGAAGUCUCAGAGCCGGGUGUUGGUUCCGGUAGAGAUCGAGGGAAGUUAGUACCGAAGUCUGGGAUGGAAGAUGGCGAGAAAAGCUGUGUGGAUUUCUGAGGUGCCCGUACCGCAAACCGACACAGGUAGGUAGGAAGAAGAUUCUAAGGCCAACGGGAGAAGGGUUGUUAAGGAACUCGGCAAAUUGACCCCGUAACUUCGGGAGAAGGGGUGCUCCAGAGAUGGAGCCGCAGAGAAUCGGCCCAAGCAACUGUUUACCAAAAACACAGGUUUGUGCUAAAUCGAAAGAUGACGUAUACGAGCUGACGCCUGCCCGGUGCUGGAAGGUUAAGAGGAGAUGUGCAAGCAUUGAAUCGAAGCCCCAGUGAACGGCGGCCGUAACUAUAACGGUCCUAAGGUAGCGAAAUUCCUUGUCAGGUAAGUUCUGACCCGC
rnacentral:rRNA from 1 species